AAAUGUCUGUAUGUAUUUUUCCUGCUGUUCAUAUGAUUCAGUGUAUUAAACUCUGUUCCAAGAAUUCUACUCUUUUACAGAGCAUCUUUUUGAGUGUCUUGAUUUUAAUUGGAUUUGGAUCUCCACAUCGUUGGUGGAAGAAGGUUAUCAGGAUGGCUUCAAAAUUUGCGACCACAAUUGGCGACCACGAAGGGACAAGGAAUUAAGGUGAUUGCUGGGAGCCUUGGGGAAUGCCAAAGCCUUGCACAUCAGAGAACACCAAGCGGCCGCUACAAUAAGGUGGAGAUGGCAUCUGGAUAACAGACGGAGAUGCAGAGGUCCUGGAGCAGGUGCUGGUGAUGCGAGGGGACAACGGAGUGAAACAGGCUGCUCCAGACAGCUGAACCAUGACCCAUCCAGUAGCUGUUGAACCUGCUGCAGAGCCUACAGCCCAAGCGGAGCCAUACAGUGCCCAAACCAGCUUCCGAAUGAUGGCUGUGCAAGAUCAACUACUACCCAUCGCUGACCCUGACUUUAAUCAAGAGUAGGACCAAGUCGUCUCAAGUAUUCUUAGAAGCUAUGCGAGAUCCAGCAGCAAGAAGUACCAAGAGAGACUUUUCUCGGACUCAUAAAUUGGUUGAAAUAUGGGACUGAAAAAGGGACACAAGUUGAGUAAAGGUUGAAGCUGCUGCAGAGAAAUGUCAACCUUGAAGCUAACAAAGGACAUUUCAAAGCCCACACUGAGAAGUUGUUCAAAAAAGAAGUUGCACCUGACCAAGAUGAAAUCCAAAAUUGGGAAUUAAUUGUUUAAUUGUUUUAUUUUUAAUGUCACUAAUGGUGUUGUGUAAUCCAUGUAUGUAUAUGUGUCUCUACUGAUGUGUUUUAUGCCUUACUUUCAUUUUCCUGUAAUUAGGCUGAUUUUUAAGUUUCUUGAGUAUUCUGUUUAGGAUACUGUGUAGUAUGAUUUGCAAAUGAAGAUGAAUCAAUUUGUCUUAAAUUAAUUGACUAAGAGAAAUGGAAUCUUGGGAGAAUGUUAUGUUGAUAACUGUGAGGUUAUUGGUGGAAGGAAGGGCUUAUUCAUUUGAGCAACAACUGUGUGGGAUCUUUAUACAAAUUCUUAUGUUCUAUGUAGAGCUUGCUUUAAAAUAUGUUAGCAAAAAAACAGCGCAUACAUUAGUUUUCACGAUUUUGUUCUUCUUUAGUCAUGGG
ensembl:lncRNA